GACGAACGCUGGCGGCGUGCCUAAUACAUGCAAGUCGAGCGGACCAAAGGGAGCUUGCUCCUGGAGGUUAGCGGCGAACGGGUGAGUAACACGUGGGCAACCUGCCUGUAAGACUGGGAUAACAUCGAGAAAUCGGUGCUAAUACCGGAUAAUAAAAAGAACUGCAUGGUUCUUUUUUGAAAGAUGGUUUCGGCUAUCACUUACAGAUGGGCCCGCGGCGCAUUAGCUAGUUGGUGAGGUAACGGCUCACCAAGGCGACGAUGCGUAGCCGACCUGAGAGGGUGAUCGGCCACACUGGGACUGAGACACGGCCCAGACUCCUACGGGAGGCAGCAGUAGGGAAUCUUCGCAAUGGACGAAAGUCUGACGGAGCAACGCCGCGUGAGUGAUGAAGGUUUUCGGAUCGUAAAACUCUGUUGUUAGGGAAGAACAAGUGCCGUUCGAAAGGGCGGCACCUUGACGGUACCUAACGAGAAAGCCACGGCUAACUACGUGUCAGCAGCCGCGGU
rnacentral:rRNA from 1 species